GCCCAGGUGGCUCAGUGGUUGAGCACCUGCCUUUUGCUCAGGUCAUGAUCCUGGGCU
rnacentral:tRNA from 1 species